rnacentral:rRNA from 1 species
ACGCUGGCGGCGUGCCUAAUACAUGCAAGUAGAACGCUGAAGGAGGAGCUUGCUUCUCUGGAUGAGUUGCGAACGGGUGAGUAACGCGUAGGUAACCUGCCUGGUAGCGGGGGAUAACUAUUGGAAACGAUAGCUAAUACCGCAUAAUAGUAGAUGUUGCAUGACAUUUGCUCAAAAGGUGCAAUUGCAUCACUACCAGAUGGACCUGCGUUGUAUUAGCUAGUUGGUGGGGUAACGGCUCACCAAGGCGACGAUACAUAGCCGACCUGAGAGGGUGAUCGGCCACACUGGGACUGAGGCACGGCCCAGACUCCUACGGGAGGCAGCAGUAGGGAAUCUUCGGCAAUGGACGGAAGUCUGACCGAGCAACGCCGCGUGAGUGAAGAAGGUUUUCGGAUCGUAAAGCUCUGUUGUAAGAGAAGAACGAGUGUGAGAGUGGAAAGUUCACACUGUGACGGUAUCUUACCAGAAAGGGACGGCUAACUACGUGCCAGCAGCCGCGGUAAUACGUAGGCCCCGAGCGUUGUCCGGAUUUAUUGGGCGUAAAGCGAGCGCAGGCGGUUAGAUAAGUCUGAAGUUAAAGGCUGUGGCUUAACCAUAGUACGCUUUGGAAACUGUUUAACUUGAGUGCAAGAGGGGAGAGUGGAAUUCCAUGUGUAGCGGUGAAAUGCGUAGAUAUAUGGAGGAACACCGGUGGCGAAAGCGGCUCUCUGGCUUGUAACUGACGCUGAGGCUCGAAAGCGUGGGGAGCAAACAGGAUUAGAUACCCUGGUAGUCCACGCCGUAAACGAUGAGUGCUAGGUGUUAGACCCUUUCCGGGGUUUAGUGCCGCAGCUAACGCAUUAAGCACUCCGCCUGGGGAGUACGACCGCAAGGUUGAAACUCAAAGGAAUUGACGGGGGCCCGGACAA